UGAAAAUUCCGAUGGUUAGAGAUGGGCAUGCGUUGUAUUAGCUAGUUGGUGGGGUAACGGCUCACCAAGGCGACGAUACAUAGGGGGACUGAGAGGUUAACCCCCCACACUGGUACUGAGACACGGACCAGACUCCUACGGGAGGCAGCAGUGAGGAAUAUUGGUCAAUGGACGCAAGUCUGAACCAGCCAUGCCGCGUGCAGGAUGACGGCUCUAUGAGUUGUAAACUGCUUUUGUACGAGGGUAAACGCAGAUACGUGUAUCUGUCUGAAAGUAUCGUACGAAUAAGGAUCGGCUAACUCCGUGCCAGCAGCCGCGGUAAUACGGAGGAUUCAAGCGUUAUCCGGAUUUAUUGGGUUUAAAGGGUGCGUAGGCGGUUUGAUAAGUUAGAGGUGAAAUUUCGGGGCUCAACCCUGAACGUGCCUCUAAUACUGUUGAGCUAGAGAGUAGUUGCGGUAGGCGGAAUGUAUGGUGUAGCGGUGAAAUGCUUAGAGAUCAUACAGAACACCGAUUGCGAAGGCAGCUUACCAAACUAUAUCUGACGUUGAGGCACGAAAGCGUGGGGAGCAAACAGGAUUAGAUACCCUGGUAGUCCACGCAGUAAACGAAGAUGACUCGUUGUCGGCGAUACACAGUCG
rnacentral:rRNA from 1 species